rnacentral:rRNA from 1 species
GACGAACGCUGGCGGCGUGCCUAAUACAUGCAAGUCGAACGCAGUGGGGACGGGUGAGUAACACGUGGGUAACCUCCCAUCAGAGGGGGAUAACACUUGGAAACAGGUGCUAAACCGAUACUGAUGGAUGGACCCGCGGUGCAUUAGCUAGUUGGUGAGGUAACGGCUCACCAAGGCCACGAUGCAUAGCCGACCUGAGAGGGUGAUCAGCCACACUGGGACUGAGACACGGCCCAGACUCCUACGGGAGGCAGCAGUGGGGAAUAUUGCACAAUGGGCGCAAGCCUGAUGCAGCCAUGCCGCGUGUAUGAAGAAGGCCUUAGGGUUGUAAAGUACUUUCAGCGGGGAGGCGUUACCCGCAGAAGAAGCACCGGCGAACUCCGUGCCAGCAGCCGCGGUAAUUC